GACUAAGCGUACACGGUGGAUGCCCUGGCAGUCAGAGGCGAUGAAGGACGUGCUAAUCUGCGAAAAGCGUCGGUAAGGUGAUAUGAACCGUUACAGCCGGCGAUGUCCGAAUGGGGAAACCCAGUGUGAUUCGUCACACUAUCGUUAACUGAAUACAUAGGUUAACGAGGCGAACCGGGGGAACUGAAACAUCUAAGUACCCCGAGGAAAAGAAAUCAACCGAGAUUCCCCCAGUAGCGGCGAGCGAACGGGGAGCAGCCCAG
rnacentral:rRNA from 1 species